rnacentral:misc_RNA from 1 species
AACCUUAUGGACCUGCGGGCGUAUACCUGCGGAAGGAUCAUUACACAUAUAAAGUAUGCCUGGGAAAAUUCGAAAGAAAAGUACCCAGGCGUAUUCUUAUACCCAUGUCUUUUGCGUACUACUUGUUUCCUUGGUGGGCUUGCCUGCCAUUAGGACACCCCUACAAACCUUUUGUAAUUGCAGUCAGCGUCAGAAGAUAACGUAAUCGUUACAACUUUUAACAACGGAUCUCAGAUCGGA